AACCCAUGGUGUGGACAUUUCCUCAUCAAUUCCUUAUACCUCUCCUAAGCUUCAUACAAUGACUCAAAUUCAUCUUGCAGAAAUGAUGUGAUAUCAUUUCUCAGUUU